rnacentral:lncRNA from 1 species
CCACUGAAUCCUCUGGACUUAUGGCAUGUAUUACUCUGGGACAUAUUUAUUCUCACAUGUGCAGGUCAUUCCAUACACCUGUAUACCUACUGUGAGAAGUGAUCACAUUAGCCAACUUAGAUAUCAACUGCCUCACAGUGCUGUGAAGUCCACAUGUGGAGCUGUAAUGUCAGCUGCUACACAUUUGCUUCUGGUUAUGGAACACCCAUGAAUGGCAGUUUAUUGGGUGCAAAGAUACUUGAGUGCAAAGAUGCCAAUAAUCCAGCUUCCACAUUUUACUCCUGUCAAGUUUAGCAGCCAGCUCUCCUUUCAAACUCCGUUUCUUUGCAGGUAAAAUGUGAAUAUCUACAAGAUUCUUGCAACAAAAUAUAUCCUAUGAGGUCUGCUCUUUGAUCAUGCUUUAUACACUGAAGUUUAUCAAUAGAUCUUCACCCCUCUUCUUUCUGAUGAGAACAGCUGUUUUCACAGCUGGCAUCUACUACCAACCAUUCACUGUUCACUACCUUCACAGUAUCAUCUGUCAGGGAGGAGAGGUGUACACAGGAGCCCCAAGUUCCAGACUUCCGGCUUUACUUAGAGCUGUGCGGGUCUCUGUGGACCUUACUCCUUGGUUAGAGCACAAAUGGUGAAGUGUUGAAGGAAGCAGGCUCUGCCUUAGUGCCUUGCCCAGUCAGGUUGCAGAUGAGCAUGCUACUGUGUUCCUGGCCUCCUCAGUACUUUCCUUGCCCACUCCUUCACCCAAAAGUCACCUAGCAAACAGUAGGGUCAACCUGAGCUGUGCCAAGGUGAGGCAAUGCAAGCUGGAUGAGGCAAGUUGAAAACACCAAGGAAGAGACUAUGAAAGGCUGUGCAGCUCUCACUGAGGAAGAGCUGGAGAAAUGCACUUCACUGAUAUGCCAGGCAACUGGAGGAGCACAUUUUGCCUGGAAGCCUCAAGCCUCUGGGCUGUGGGCCAGAGGUUCUUUCCUAACUGAGCCUGGUCACAAGGGUCAGGAGAAUCAGAUGCUGCAAACAGUUCCUUGCUGUGGAUUGCGGAUCACACUUCGUGGGAGGCACCAGAGGUUCUUGAUCUGUUGUGCAAAACUCCUUCCAGAAGCCUUCCUCAAUUGCUCCAGGCCUUGGUCCUCUCUGAAUCUGAAAGAUGGUACAGCUUGAUGAAGAAGGUUGUCCCCACUUCUAUGAACCUGAUAGGGAGAAACUGAUCCAGGCAAAGACCAAGGAUGGGCAGAGAAACGUGCGGAGCAAGGACACUUGGUUGUGGCAGUCAGAUGUUCUAGUAAGUUGCUCUGUCUUCACUGCUGCUUCUAUAAGACAGCUGU